AAAUGCGAUAAUUAAUGUGAAUUGCAGAAUUCAGUGAAUCAUCGAGUCUUUGAACGCACAUUGCGCCCCCUGGUAUUCCGGGGGGCAUGCCUGUCCGAGCGUCAUUGCUGCCCUCAAGCACGGCUUGUGUGUUGGGCUUCCGUCCCUGGCAACGGGGACGGGCCCAAAAGGCAGUGGCGGCACCAUGUCUGGUCCUCGAGCGUAUGGGGCUUUGUCACCCGCUCCCGUAGGUCCAGCUGGCAGCUAGCCUCGCAACCAAUCUUUUUAACCAGGUUGACCUCGGAUCAGGUAGGGAUACCCGCUGAACUUAAGA
rnacentral:misc_RNA from 1 species